CUGCCAUCUUAGAUGAUGGAUCGGCUACAAAGUAACAACACUUGGUCAGCAUCUCAUAAGGAAGAUUCAUGCCAUGUUUGGUUUCAUUCCAUUCAGUGGUUCUCUAAAAGAAGACAUUUGUAUGUAUUUCCCAUAGGUCCUUUGUUAAACUAAGUCCCCUGCUGUCGGCCAUCUUGGAUGAUGGACCGACUGCAAAGUAACAACACUUGGUCAGCAUCUCAUAAGGAACAUUCAUGCCAUGUUUGGUUUCAUUCAAUUUAGUGGUUCUCUAAAAGAAGACAUUUUUAUGUAUUUCCCAUAGGGUCCUAUGUUAAACUAAGUCCCCCGCUGUCGGCCAUCUUGGAUGAUGGAUCGGCUGCAAAGUAACAACACUUGGUCAACAUCUCAUAAGGAACAUUCAUGCCAUGUUUGGUUCCAUUCCAUUUAUUGGUUCUCUAAAAGAAGACAUUUUUAUGUAUUUCCCAAAGGGUCCAAUGUAAAACUAAGUCCCCCGCUGGCUGCCAUCUUGGAUGAUGGAUCGGCUACAAAGUAACAACACUUGGUCAGCAUCUCAUUAGGAAGAUUCAUGCCAUGUUUGGUUUCAUUCCAUUCAGUGGUUCUCUAAAAGAAGACAUUUGUAUGUAUUUCCCAUAGGUCCUUUGUUAAACUAAGUCCCCUGCUGUCGGCCAUCUUGGAUGAUGGACCGACUGCAAAGUAACAACACUUGGUCAGCACCUCAUAAGGAACAUUCAUGCCAUGUUUGGUUUCAUUCCAUUCAGUGGUUCUCUAAAAGAAGACAUUUUUAUGUAUUUCCCAAAGGGUCCUAUGUAAAACUAAGUCCCCCGCUGGAUGCCAUCUUGGAUGAUGGAUCGGCUACAAAGUAACAACACUUGGUCAGCAUCUCAUAAGGAAGAUUCAUGCCAUGUUUGGUUUCAUUCCAUUCAGUGGUUCUCUAAAAGAAGACAUUUGUAUGUAUUUCCCAUAGGUCCUUUGUUAAACUAAGUCCCCUGCUGUCGGCCAUCUUGGAUGAUGGACCGACUGCAAAGUAACAACACUUGGUCAGCAUCUCAUAAGGAACAUUCAUGCCAUGUUUGGUUUCAUUCAAUUCAGUGGUUCUCUAAAAGAAGACAUUUUUAUGUAUUUCCCAUAGGGUCCUAUGUUAAACUAAGUCCCCCGCUGUCGGCCAUCUUGGAUGAUGGAUCGGCUGCAAAGUAACAACACUUGGUCAACAUCUCAUAAGGAACAUUCAUGCCAUGUUUGGUUCCAUUCCAUUUAUUGGUUCUCUAAAAGAAGACAUUUUUAUGUAUUUCCCAAAGGGUCCAAUGUAAAACUAAGUCCCCCGCUGGCUGCCAUCUUGGAUGAUGGAUCGGCUACAAAGUAACAACACUUGGUCAGCACCU